rnacentral:rRNA from 1 species
AACGAACGCUGGCGGCAUGCCUAACACAUGCAAGUCGAACGAGACCUUCGGGUCUAGUGGCGCACGGGUGCGUAACGCGUGGGAACCUGCCCUUAGGUUCGGAAUAACUCCCCGAAAGGGGUGCUAAUACCGGAUAAUGUCUUCGGACCAAAGAUUUAUCGCCUUUGGAUGGGCCCGCGUUGGAUUAGCUAGUUGGUAGGGUAAAAGCCUACCAAGGCGACGAUCCAUAGCUGGUCUGAGAGGAUGAUCGGCCACACUGGGACUGAGACACGGCCCAGACUCCUACGGGAGGCAGCAGUGGGGAAUAUUGGACAAUGGGCGAAAGCCUGAGCCAGCAAUGCCGCGUGAGUGAUGAAGGCCUUAGGGUUGUAAAGCUCUUUUACCCGGGAUGAUAAUGACAGUACCGGGAGAAUAAGCGCCGGCUAACUCCGUG